rnacentral:misc_RNA from 1 species
GUCACAUGGGACAUUAUCACAUAGGAUGAAAGAGAAUGGGAUCACAGGGUCUUCUUCCACCUCUCUCUCCUCUUCUAAUCGUGCACACAUAGCAGGAAGUGGAACCGCCCCAUGGUCGGCCAAGCAGGGAAGGGGGGUUCGCCGCUGGCAAGGGGCAUGGGCGCCGCCCACACGUGCCCAGGGGAGUCGCUGCCACACCCGACAAGGGAAGGCCGCGCCCGGCCUGGGGACGAGGGCCAGCCCCGCCUGGCCUACUCGUUGCUCUGCAGCAGGGGCAACGGGGGUGCUCGGCCAGGGAGCCCACCCGGCGCUGCACACGAAGGGUCGCGCCCG